rnacentral:pre_miRNA from 1 species
CAAACUCGCCGGAUCUGGCAACGGAGCUCGGGCUCCCGAUCCAGGCGAGCCUGAGCUCCGCCGCCAGAUCCAGCGAGAUCG